rnacentral:rRNA from 1 species
AUUGAACGCUGGCGGCAUGCUUUACACAUGCAAGUCGAACGGUAACAGCACUUCGUUGGCUGACGAGUGGCUAACGGGUGAGUAAUACAUCGGAACGUGCCUAGUAGUUGGGGAUAACUACUCGAAAGAGUAGCUAAUACCGCAUGAGAUCUAAGGAUGAAAGCAGUGGACCUUCUUGCCUUGCUCUACUAGAGCGGCUGAUGGCAGAUUAGGUAGUUGGUGGGAUAAAAGCUUACCAAGCCGACGAUCUGUAGCUGGUCUGAGAGUAGGACCAGCGACAUUGGGACUGAGCCAGGGACAAGAGUCCUAAGGGAGGCAGCAGUGGGGAACUUUGGACAAUGGGCGAAAGCAUGAUACAGUAAUGCCGCGUGCAGGAUGACGGCCUUGGGGUUGUAAACUGCUUUUGUACGGAACGAACAGCCCUCUUCUAAUACAGGAGGGUCAUGACGGUAAUGUAAGAAUAAGCACCGGCUAACUACGUG